GAAAGCCAGAUGGAGAUGGUUACCAUGGAGACUCCUGCCCAAGCGCCCAACACCUGUGAUCAUCACCUGCCUCUAAUUCGGCUUAAUCCAGAUCUCCCCAGAGACUUGGGGGGAGACAAAGAGGAGGCAGACAUCUUCCGGAAUCAGAUCGGCUCUCCGUGACAAGGCCAGUGAGCUGGCUCAGGGACUUGUGCCCAGAGACUCAGAGAGGGUCCCAGCACCUCCCAUGGAAGAGCCAUCAUCCUCGGCUUCUGUCCAAGGCCCGACGCUCCUGCUCAGAGGGAAGAGACUAGCAUUUGUUGUCAGCUACCAAGCCGGGUGUUCCCCACAUGCGGUGCCCCCUCCAGCCCUAAGUCAUGAACAGUUACCACUGUUGUGCCAUGUUACAGGCUGGGGAGUCAAGUCUCAGUGCCGGGAUGGCCUUUUGCCCUAGGGCAAGAAUAGGAGAGCCUUGACACACCAAUACACCACCGAGGGCUCGUAUGGCCAGGACCUCAGGCACCCCAGUGCUGGAUUCCAAGCACAGUGGGACCCAGCCACAUUCCCUGGGCCCAAGCGACACCAACCUCAUCCCCACCCUGGGCCAUUAAAGCUUGCUUUUCUUGUUUUA